rnacentral:rRNA from 1 species
GAUGAAGCUAUAAUCAAUGCCAUACACUCUGAAUAUACAGUAACUGAUUUCAUCUCAGAAGCUAAGCAGGCUUGGGACCGGUUAGGACUUGGAUGGGGGACCACUAGAGAGUCCUAGCCAUCUUCAGUU